UGCAUUACUUCAGUUCUGUUUGAAUCUAUAGCAACUUGCAACAACACAUUCAGUUCCCAACCUCCCUACUUUUCUUCCUCAUCUGCAUUGCUGGCUUUUCUUCUUGAGACAAAGGUAGAAACCACAAACAGACCACUUACAGGCCAUAUCUAAAUGAAGAAAAAAGAAGUCUUAUCUCGCAAUGGGUUUUCCAACACCAAUGCUAUUAUGUGUACCUACAUCAUUCAAAGGGCAUUGUUAUAGAGGGGUUUAGUGAACAUAUUGGUAACUGUGAGUGGUUCUAUGCUGCCAUUUUAGGAGAUUUCUUGCUUCAUCUUUCCACAAAUUUUGUGCUUGUUUAGCAACCAAAAUGCGGUUUUAGUGGGCAUUUAGCUUUUCUUAGUCGGUCUAAACAUAUUCUUAGCAAAUCAACUUUCGCAACAAGCUGUCCACACUAUCAAGGCU